rnacentral:rRNA from 1 species
AGAGUUUGAUCCUGGCUUCAGAACGAACCCUGGCGGCGUGGAUUAGGCAUGCAAGUCGAACGGAACUUCUAGCUUUUUCGGAAGUUUAGUGGCGAAAGGGUGAGUAACACGUGGGUUACCUGCCCUAGGGCUCGGGAUAACCUGUCGAAAGACGGGCUAAUACCGGAUACGUCCUGCACUUUUCGAAGUGCAGGGGAAAGAUGGGGAUCCGUAAGGACCUAUCACCCUUGGAUGGGCCCGCGGCCUAUCAGCUAGUUGGUGAGGUAAUGGCUCACCAAGGCUAAGACGGGUAGCUGGUCUGAGAGGAUGGUCAGCCACACUGGAACUGAGACACUGUCCAGACACCUACGGGUGGCUGCAGUCGAGAAUCUUUCGCAAUGGGGGAAACCCUGACGACGCGACGCCGCGUGGAGGAUGAAGGCCUUCGGGUUGUAAACUCGCCACGCUACUUGCAA